CCUGGGGAUGAAAAAAAAGGAAAAUGGGAGAGGGAAAAGUUACUUUUCAAGGUCAAAACGGGGAAAAAGAGGCUGCCACUCCAAAUGAAAAGGCCUCCUGUAAUUAAAAAUGCAUUCAACAACCUUUAUUAAUAAAUACAGAGUGGGGAGAAACUUGUGUGAGACCAAUCCCAGGCAGCACAGAAAUAUGUAAAUAUCUCAGCGUGGCUGGAUCUUGUAUCUCCAGAGAAUGAGGGCUUCUAUAAGUUUGCCCUUUCCAGACAGGCUCUUCAAGUAAGAAAACAAGAUUGAAUAUUUUAAUAGGAUGUACGAGGCCACGGAGCCGUAAGGAGGAUUCAAUCACAGCCUACGUGGGACUGUAAUUUAGUUUUCAUACAUUUUCUUGGACAGUACUUGAAAAACAAUGAAAAUGACCCAGCAACAAGAUUCCAAUUAAUAUCCCACGUGCAGCAAUUCUGAUAACGGGAGCAAAUUUCCCUUUAAAAAAAAAGAAAAAGAAAAAAAAGUGGGCCAAUGUUAUCUUUAAUUUUAGAAACAGAGUAACCUGAGCUGGGGGAGAGGUAUUUCUGCCUUGUUUUGUAUAAAUGCAUUUUCUGAAGCAGCAGCCUUUUGUCAGGGGCUGCACACACAGAGUGGGGUGUUGGUUACAUGGAGGGGUGGGAUUUUCCCUUCCAAGAACAGUAGCAACCCCAGGGUUAUGAGUGAGAACCAAGUGAUCCCAUUGCCUCAAACUACCCUAAAGGCAUUCUGGAAAACCCAAAGGGGAUUUGCUCCAGAACAGGCUCCCCUCUCCAGGUCUCCAGGCCCUUCUUCCUUACACAUUCACUCAUUUCUUACAUCCCCAGCAACGUGAGGAAGCUCAAACACAACGUGGGCACAUUGGGGGACCCUAAAAAAACCACCAAAGGCAGCAAGAGCUGCUGUGUUUGCAGAUAAAACCCCAGAGUGCUGUUCCUUUGCAGCCUGCCUCGGCCUUUCCCACUGCUGGAGAACCCAAGGAGGAGAAUUCCUCAGGUUUCUGUCCUCCUUUUGGUGGGUUUGACACUGUCCUGUGGGUACAGGAGUUCAGGGAUGGAUGCUGAAUUUGCUCCAAUCCCACAGAUUUUAAACAAACAGCCAUUUUUCAGGCGAGCAGGGCCCGGGGGGAUUUCGGGUGAGGAUUUGUCUCUGCUGGCAGAGGAGUGUUUUGCCAGCACAGACGGGUUGUGACGUGGACACCCCGGGUUUUGGGGGGCACAAGGGGCUCCCCUGCACCCCACAGCCUCAUCCUCCCAGGCACAGCAACCUCUGAUGAAGCAGAAAUCCCAGUUUGGAUAACACACCAUGGACAAACACCCCGGCAGAGUGACAGGAGGAGGAGGGAAACCAGCCUCUCCCCUCAGCAGGAUUUAACCAUGCAGAGAGUAAAACUCAUCAAUCCUCCAGGUUUAACCUUGUCUCUGUUUCAAUUCACCAGGAUAUGAACCAUCAAGACUUGAGCCACUGAGUUGUAACAACCCCACUGCAAAGUGUGUCACCUGCAGCUGGAGGAAAGGUGACUUUAGCACAAAGAGGGGCUGGAGGCAGCAUGUGCUGAGGAAUAACCUGUGCAGGUAAUUAAGAGUACUCACACCUCAGGUGGGGAGUGUGGAAGAGGCAGGUCGAUACAGGGGUCUUCCUUGAAUUAAAAUUUAACUUACCCUUUAUUGCAACCUACAAAAGCAAGUAAUGAGCACUAACAUUUUUAUUUCUUUUAAACUGUCAUUUAGGCUGUAGAGGGGAUAAUUACCUAUUUCCACUGUAGUAAGGUUUUAUCACCCUUAGUGAGGCAUUUUCUAAUUUAAUAUUUUUACUGUAUUAUCAUAAAACCUGUUUCUGGAAAAAAAUGAUCACGGACCACGGAGCCAUUUGCCAUAAAACAUGUGUGUGUAAGUACCUUGGCUUAAUUAUUUAUGCAUUUCUUCUGAGCUGGCUCCAGAGCCAGGGGACAGCACAGGCACCGUGUCACCUCCCCACCAUGAAAACUGGGCUUCUCAGGUCAACAAUAUUGUUUUAAAAUAUGAAAUAAAAGGAGCAGCUACUCCAGGUGGGGAGCCUGGUGUGCUAAAUGCCCAGUGGGCUUUUCCCUCCACUCCAAACCCCAGGUAUUGCUGCUACACACAUUUUGCAGGCAAAAUCCCUGCAACAGAGACCAAGGAAACACACACACAGACACACAGAGAGAGUGAAUAUUAAUUGCAACAGCACAUUUCAUAAAUCUGUACGAAUCUUCAACAUACACAUCACAAAAAUAAUUCUAAACAGAUCCCCAGGAAGGUGCUUUGCCCACCAAAUGUACAAAGGGAAACCAAACCUGCAUGUGGGAAAAGCCAAAGUAUUGUACCACUCUGUGUAAUUAUAGCCAUUUUUCUAAAUACAGGUCUGUGAACUAAUAGAAGAACAAUACUAGGGGGGAAAAUUCAGUUUCUGGUGGCUUUUUUUUUUUUUAUUAAAAUGGCAAUAGUGCUCUUCUAGUAAAAAUACCCUCCAACCAAUGUCUCUGCCUUCUCCCUUGUACCUUUUACUUCUCCUCUUCCUCUACCCAAA